AUAAAGGCAGUGACGAAGAAGAGUACCUUAAUGAUGUUCUGCAGAGAGCCAGUGGUUGCUGAAAACUGGUGAACGAAAUUAAGCGAAUGGACUUCCGAGCCCCAAACCGAAACGGAUGAACGGAGUAGGCUUUGGCGAUUAUCUCAUCGUUAAUGGAGAUAGGCAUGUUAAUGCCGUAAAGUGAGCUAAUUUAGCUAAUUAAGGUGGUACCACGGGUUCCUCGUCCUUUGG
rnacentral:ncRNA from 2 species